rnacentral:rRNA from 1 species
UACGGAGGAUCCAAGCGUUAUCCGGAUUUAUUGGGUUUAAAGGGUGCGUAGGCGGCUUAUUAAGUCAGGGUGAAAGACGGUGGCUCAACCAUCGCAGUGCCCUUGAUACUGAUGAGCUUGAAUACACUUGAGGUAGGCGGAAUGUGACAAGUAGCGGUGAAAUGCAUAGAUAUGUCACAGAACACCAAUUGCGAAGGCAGCUUACUAAGGUGCAAUUGACGCUGAGGCACGAAAGCGUGGGGAUCAAACAGG